GGGCCCGUAGCUCAGCGGCAGAGCAGUGGACUUUUAAUCCAUCGGCCGGAGGUUCGAAUCCUCCCGGGCCUACCA
rnacentral:tRNA from 1 species